UACGUAGGGUGCGAGCGUUGUCCGGAAUUAUUGGGCGUAAAGAGCUUGUAGGCGGUCUGUCGCGUCUGCUGUGAAAAUCCGGGGCUCAACCCCGGACUUGCAGUGGGUACGGGCAGACUAGAGUGUGGUAGGGGAGACUGGAAUUCCUGGUGUAGCGGUGAAAUGCGCAGAUAAUCAGGAGGAACACCGAUGGCGAAGGCAGGUCUCUGGGCCACUACUGACGUGAGAAGCGAAAGCAUGGGGAGCGAACAGG
rnacentral:rRNA from 1 species